UGGCCUUGCAUUAUAAGAUGGAUCCCCCAA
rnacentral:piRNA from 1 species